rnacentral:rRNA from 1 species
CCUACGGGCGGCAGCAGUGGGGAAUAUUGGACAAUGGGGGCAACCCUGAUCCAGCCAUGCCGCGUGUGUGAAGAAGGCCCUCGGGUUGUAAAGCACUUUCAGUGAGGAAGAACGCCUGGUGGUUAAUACCCAUCAGGAAAGACAUCACUCACAGAAGAAGCACCGGCUAACUCCGUGCCAGCAGCCGCGGUAAUACGGAGGGUGCGAGCGUUAAUCGGAAUUACUGGGCGUAAAGCGCGCGUAGGUGGCUUGAUAAGCCGGUUGUGAAAGCCCCGGGCUCAACCUGGGAACGGCAUCCGGAACUGUCAAGCUAGAGUGCAGGAGAGGAAGGUAGAAUUCCCGGUGUAGCGGUGAAAUGCGUAGAGAUCGGGAGAAAUACCAGUGGCGAAGGCGGCCUUCUGGACUGACACUGACACUGAGGUGCGAAAGCGUGGGUAGCAAACAGGAUUAGAUACCCCAGUAGUC